UACGUAGGGUGCGAGCGUUGUCCGGAAUUACUGGGCGUAAAGAGUUCGUAGGCGGUUUGUCGCGUCGUUCGUGAAAACUUGGGGCUUAACUCCAAGCGUGCGGGCGAUACGGGCAGACUUGAGUACUACAGGGGAGACUGGAAUUCCUGGUGUAGCGGUGAAAUGCGCAGAUAUCAGGAGGAACACCGGUGGCGAAGGCGGGUCUCUGGGCCAUUACUGACGCUGAGGAGCGAAAGCGUGGGGAGCGAACAGG
rnacentral:rRNA from 1 species